rnacentral:rRNA from 1 species
GGAGUUAGCCGGUGCUUCUUCUGUGAGUGAUGUCCUUCCUGCCGGCUAUUAACCCGCAGGCCUUCUUCCUCACUGAAAGUGCUUUACAACCCGAAGGCCUUCUUCACACACGCGGCAUGGCUGGAUCAGGGUUGCCCCCAUUGUCCAAUAUUCCCCACUGCUGCCUCCCGUAGGAGUCUGGGCCGUGUCUCAGUCCCAGUGUGGCUGAUCAUCCUCUCAGACCAGCUACGGAUCGUCGCCUUGGUGAGCCGUUACCUCACCAACCAGCUAAUCCGACAUAGGCUCAUCCGAUAGCGCGAGGCCCGAAGGUCCCCCGCUUUCCCCCGUAGGGCGUAUGCGGUAUUAGCCUGGGUUUCCCCAGGUUAUCCCCCGACUACCGGGCAGAUUCCUAUGCAUUACUCACCCGUCCGCCGCUCGCCACCAGGGAGCAAGCUCCCCGUGCUGCCGCUCGACUUGCAUGUGUUAGGCCUGCCGCCACGCGUUCAUCUGAACCAAGAUACAACUACUGA